CCCAAUAAAUAUUUAUAAAUGAACAUAAUGAACCAAUGAUGGCUCAAAUCCAAAAGAGGAAGUAAAUCUCCAUAUGUCAUGGAAUGAAGGAAAUGGACCAAUGCUAGUCUUCAACUUGAAUCUCCAAAGAUGACAGGACAUAUAACAUAUGGUCCAAUAAUAUGUAUCCUGGCGCCCUCCCCCAGGUAGUAAUAGCAAAUGGAAACAUCAGCAGCACUAGGAUCAUUCCUUUUCUGUUAUUUUAUUUUUAAGGUGUGUCACCUCCAUAAUCAGAAUCGCAGAGCCAGGUGCAAAGGGCAUAAUUUGAAUUAUAGGACGGUGACUAGAACACAGUGUUCUUGGAGGUUACAAGCAAGCAAUACAGACGUUAAAUACUAAGUGACUUCCUGCUUUUCUUACUUUACAGUAUCUUUUUCAUAUGCCAAACGGUCUGUGAAUCCCAUCUGUCAGGAAUGAGGGAUGUACAAGGCACGUAAAGGAAGCAGCAAAUUGAAAAGUGAUGGAAGGUGGCACAGACAAGGGGAGAGGGAGGGCGCAGCAGAGCCUCUGGUGGGGAGCCCAGAAGGGUUGCCUUGGUUCUCUGACUUCAAGAGAAAAUCCCUUGGAGAAAAUACUGAUGACCAGGCUCCAUCCCAAGCCAAUUAUUUCAGGAUCACUAGGGGUGUGGCUCUGGCAUCAGUAUUUUUUUUCAGGGCUCUCCAGGUGGUUCUUAUGGGCAACCAGCUUGGAGAACCACUGUUUUAAAACAGGGACCAGAGUGGGACAAUAAACAGACACACCUGAAGUUGUUCUCAAACUUUAUUAUGGGGAAAAGUCACCUGGAGAACUUGUUUAAAUUGUAGAUUCUCUCAAACCCACCCCUCGCCGCCCCCAGACGAUCAGAUUCAGUUGGUGUGGAUAAGCCCUGGGUAUCUACAUUUGUAACAAGCUCCCUAGUGAUCCUGAGGCAGUAGAAGCCUGGGGAAGAGAUGGCGGAUAAGGAGAAGACAAGAGAUGAAACUGUAACCAUGAGGAUACCUCUUCCUAGCCUGGGUCCAGAGUGAGCGCCCUAAAACUCAGUCCUGAAAGAGAUGAGAAUAGUGGGACAGCAAUGGGGAAAGUAAGCUGCUCAUCUCAAAGAUCUGCCCUUCUCUCCUCUGGGGAUCUCAGUGAUCAUCAUCAUCUCCAUCAGAGAACAAGCAAGUGAAAAAGAAAAGGAAUGAAAUUCAAAUCAGCAUGUUGUUUUUUCCUUGUAGACCCUUUGAAAGAUUUAUUGGAGAAAGAGUCAAAACUAAUAGCCAAGGUGGGAUUUGGAGACUAUGUUAGAUUUCGCUUAUUCAUGUUCUUCCUCCUUUGCCCACCACCCCCCAUUAGCACAGAUAAUGGAAGGUUUGCUUCAUUUAUCAUAGCAAACGAAGCAAUGGUGUCAUUUUAAGUCAAGACCACAAAAAGAAAAUAGGAUUUUAAAUUGCUAUAGGAAAGACCAUUACAGAAGUGAACUAAAUUACUUCAAAGAAAGCAAAAGAACAAAUUACCAAAAGAAGUUAUGGCAUCUUCCCCUUUGAAGAUUUUUAAGAAUCAAGUAAACAGUUCCUUCAGUGAGGACCUGAUUGGAAGUGGAGAAGUCGACCUGUGAUUUUAUAAGGCCUUAUGCUCCAUAGGUUUAUAUUACCUCACUUUUUAAAUGUGAAAACUAUGGAUUACUUGAAAAAGAAGGGGGCAGGGAAUGGUAUGACUUAAUGUAUAUUGAAGAGUCCCCAGUCUUCUCCAAACUGUGAUUACAAAAUUUGGUGGCAUUACCUUUAAAAUCCAAUGAACCAAAUCCAGUAUGAUCCUAAUCACCACAGCGUGAGAGUGGUAAUAGCCCCCACCCUACACAUACACAGAUUAAGAAGAAUCCCCAGGGUGUUUAUUCUGGUUUGUGAAUCUGACAUAUUCUGCACAGAUCCUCAUAGUGGAUGAUUUCCAAAGAGUCUGGCCCACUGAUCUUGACUCCCUUAACUAUUUGCACCAGAAUACACUGCAGAAAUGGUCCUGUCCCCAGGCCAUUCUCACUGUUGGCACAGCUACCAAGGAAGAAUUCUGUUGAUUAGCCAAGAAUUUAGUGGUUUCUUGAGAUAGAAAGGACACCCCCUCCCCAAAGAUAAAUGAAAUCAAAAAAGAAUGGCUUGUACCCCAAAUGUUAAUUGGUUUUUUAGCUCUUGGUGAUUUGGCUCUUUGAAUCCUUACUCUACAUUUUAGACAGAAUUUUUAUUCUUCCUCCCAUGAAGGCUAUGCUUCAAACCAAAUUGUAUAAGGAAACUUAGCAUAUGCAUAUUGUGGUAGAAAUAUUUAGCUUCAGUGCUCAUGUGCUUGCCUCUAGUUCCUGCAUGCUCUUUGGCCAUGUGGUAGAACAUUACUGUCAAUUCCCAGCUUGUACAUUUCCUAAGGGAAAUUGUGGAGGUUCAACACAAUAUUUUCAACUAAACAAACAUUCAUUGAAUACCUCUUGCUGGUACCUAUUGCGUGUGAACAUGAAAAUUAUCUAUUGGACUUUGCUGGGGAAAAUACAAUGACACUAUGGGAACAUACAGGAGAGACCUGACACAAUCUUCAGGGGUCAAGAAGAUUUUCUGAAGGAAGUGACCUCAAAAUUUGAACCUGAAAGAAUAUCAGGAGGUUAUCAGGUAGAAAAGGGAAAUGAGUGCAUUUCAGGAAAGGAAAAUAGUUUUUGCAGAAUAUUGUACACGCAAGAGAACAUGCUGUGCUCGAGGAGCUUUACCUGAUUCUGUAUGGCUAAGGCAGAAGUCAGGUCAUAAAGAAUCUUGGAUUCUAGGCUAAAGACCUUGAACUUUAUCUUACAGGGGCUACAGAAAAUCAUUAACUGGCUUUAAACGGAGUGACAAUAUCAAGGUUGUGCCUUCAAAAAACAUUCUGUAAAUUGGUUAUAGAAGAGUGAGAAUGGAGGCCCUCAGCAGAGGUACAAUAUAAGGUUGAACUGUAAAAAAAUAGAAUAAUUUCCUGAAGGGGGAAGAAUAUGAGCUGCGCCCUGGAACUGGGAAAAGCCUGUUCAUGACUAAUGGAACAACAUGAAUGAGGUUAAGGAGACAGGAAAAUACAAGGACCAAAUGUAUAAGGAGAAGAAAGUAUGUGCCUGUGGAAUUCCUGCUGUGGGUUAAAGAUCUGGAAUUGCUACAACUCUGUCAUAGGUCAUGGCUAAGUCUCAGAUUGGAUCCCUGGCCUGGGAAGCUAUAUGUGCUGCAGGUGCAGCCAUAAAAAAUAAGGGUAGGUUCCUCAGUGGAAGUGUGGGCCUUGAGAAGUAAUGUGAUAAACAGUGAGGCUACAAGAGUAACUAAGGAUGAGUUCAGAGAAGACUCAAAUUAUACACUGACCAGUUUUUUUUCUGAUAGCAAUCUAAACCCCUGAGGAAUCUUGACACCAUCCAGUUUUAGAAAAAUAAUGCAAGAAAUGAAGCAAAUGUUAUUUUGCAUGGCUAUAGUGCCCUGUCAGUUUUUGGAAAGCAGAGAUCAUCGAUUCAUUCAUAUUUCAGUUUUCAGGAGUUAUGUUGUAUAUACUUGGCAGGUGCUCAAUACAUACAUAUAUAUGUAUUGGUUGGAAGAUGGUUGGAUGGAAGGAUGAAUGGAUAGAUGGAUGAAUAAAUGAAUCAUUGCACCAUAAGUUUAAAUGAGCUUUGGGUGAAAUAAUUUAUCAGAACAAGUAAAAAACCUAGGAAACUUAGGAAAUAGGCAAUGGGAUUCUUGCCAUGCUUGGUAGGAGUUAACAGAGAAAAUAAAUCUUCAUCCUCUUUAAUGAGCCCUCCAUCUUGAUCCUCAUCAACUCUUGUGUGUAUCCCAAAAAUCUGCCCAUUAACUACUUACUGAGACAUUGUUUCAUUCAAAAACUAUCCACAAACCUAGAGGUUCCCACUUGCUCUGAGCAAUAGGACAAGGGUAAUACCCUCUUUGGGAUCGUAUACAAAACCCUGAAGAUGGAAGUGAAAGCACAGUUUAUGUUAUAGGGCAACCAUGUAUUUUUCCCCAGCAAUCAAGACCCCCCCUCACAUCUAAAAUAAAACUCUUAAAACCAGUUCCUUAAUGAGAAAGAAUAAGUUGUUUCCUUGAUUAAUUGCACAUUCCAAGGGAAAAGACUAUGUAGGAGGUAAUAAUUUAUGGUAGCAAUUUGAGGUGAUUUUAUCAUAAACUUUCCAUGGUUUCAUAUUGUAGAUUUUAGAAAACAUAGUACUUUGUCAAGAAGGGAGGGGGUUGGAGGAAGUUAAAUAAAUAUUUAAGCCCAGAGAGAUCAUUCCAACAAAUGUUCAUUCUUAGAUCAUCUGUUCUUCAUUUCAUGAUAUACGUUAUAAACAACAGCCUCACUCCAACUCUCACAUUGCUGCAUACUUUAAAAUUCAGCAAAUAUGUUAGCGCACAUAUAUAAUGCAUUGUUGUCAUUUGCAUUCAGGGAUGACACUACUAAUGGCGUUGUUUGCCAUAUAUAUGGAUAAGGUUAAAAAACUCAGAGGAAGACUCACAGUCUUGCCACAUGGGUGGAUGCAUGGGAGCACUGUCCUAUUUUUGUAGCUCUAGAGACCAUUUUAGAACAAAUCAUUUCUCAUGACUCUCUUUGCUCAAUGGGUUACUGAUGUCUUUGCUCUAAAAGAGCUCCAUGGAUUCACUCACUGCCAAGUGGGUCUUUUGGCUGCUGCUCUACCCAGCAUAUCUUAACUAUACAGCAAGGCUUUAAAUUGUAUUUUAGGAUGUUAAGCUAACAUUUCUUCUUCUGGAACCUGUAGUCAUCUCUUGCUUCAGUUUUCCAAAGGGCUGCUAAAGUUUUUUCUAUCUUUUGGUAAGGAAACAAUAUAGCAUCAGGCAGGGCUAGCAAAUAUUGGCCCGUGAUUAAGGGUUUCAGGUUUUGUUUUGUAUUUUAAGACUUUAGACAGUUUUUAGAGCAGCUUUAGGUUCACAGCAAAAUUGGGUGGCAAGUACAGCUAUUUCUCAUAUACUCCCUGCCCGCCCCCAUGCAUCACCUCUCCUUUAUCACGAUAUUAUAGGGCAACAGUGUAUUUUUCCCCAUAAAUCAAGACCCCCGCCGCACCCACCUAAAGUAAAACUCUUAGAACAAGAUCCUUAAUUAGAAUAAGUUGCUUCUGAAUGUAAAGAGUGGUACAUUGGUGACAAUUAAUGAAGAUACAUUGACUCAUCACACUGACUCAGGGUCCAUAGGUUACUUUAGGGUUUGCUCUUGGUCUUGUAUGGAUUCGUUCACAUGUGUAAUGAAAUAUAUCUACCAUUUUAUCACUAUACUAUGGACUUGUUCUACAGUUUACCACAAAUCAAACAGGCAAGCCAAAAACAUACACACACACCCAAUAUUCAUUUUCAAAAAGAUAAAUUUUAUUCAGUUUAAAAGACUAGAAUCAUGUCCUUUCUACUUAUUUUUUGCAUAGAAUAAACUUUCUCCUAUGAAGUGAUAAAGGCAAAAUGAAAAUAAUUGUACUUACUUUGUGGGAUUAUAUGAAGAUUAAACAGGAUAAUCCAUGGUAGAGCUGGCACAGGGUCUGGCUAAUAGCAAAUGAUUAAUAAAUAUUAAGUACUAUCAUUAUUAUUAUUAUUCAUUACUUUUUAUUGGGUUUGCUUCUUUUUUUUUUUUUUUGGCUGUUGCUAUUUUCUAAGAUAAUACUUUUUAAUCACCUUACUUGGAAUGAGAAAAAGUUUGCAACAUUAUGUCAACUCUUCCUUUUUUUGUUUAAAAUUUAAAAUAGGGAGUUCCUUUGUGGUACAGUGGAUUAAGGAUCUGGUGUUGUCACUGCAGCAGGUUGG